rnacentral:rRNA from 1 species
GGGUUGUGAGGUUAAGCGACUAAGCGUACACGGUGGAUGCCCUGGCAGUCAGAGGCGAUGAAGGACGUGCUAAUCUGCGAUAAGCGUCGGUAAGGUGAUAUGAACCGUUAUAACCGGCGAUUUCCGAAUGGGGAAACCCAGUGUGUUUCGACACACUAUCAUUAACUGAAUCCAUAGGUUAAUGAGGCGAACCGGGGGAACUGAAACAUCUAAGUACCCCGAGGAAAAGAAAUCAACCGAGAUUCCCCCAGUAGCGGCGAGCGAACGGGGAGGAGCCCAGAGCCUGAAUCAGUGUGUGUGUUAGUGGAAGCGUCUGGAAAGGCGUGCGAUACAGGGUGACAGCCCCGUACACAAAAAUGCACAUACUGUGAGCUCGAUGAGUAGGGCGGGACACGUGGUAUCCUGUCUGAAUAUGGGGGGACCAUCCUCCAAGGCUAAAUACUCCUGACUGACCGAUAGUGAACCAGUACCGUGAGGGAAAGGCGAAAAGAACCCCGGCGAGGGGAGUGAAAAAGAACCUGAAACCGUGUACGUACAAGCAGUGGGAGCCUCUUAAUGGGGUGACUGCGUACCUUUUGUAUAAUGGGUCAGCGACUUAUAUUCUGUAGCAAGGUUAACCGAAUAGGGGAGCCGAAGGGAAACCGAGUCUUAACUGGGCGUUAAGUUGCAGGGUAUAGACCCGAAACCCGGUGAUCUAGCCAUGGGCAGGUUGAAGGUUGGGUAACACUAACUGGAGGACCGAACCGACUAAUGUUGAAAAAUUAGCGGAUGACUUGUGGCUGGGGGUGAAAGGCCAAUCAAACCGGGAGAUAGCUGGUUCUCCCCGAAAGCUAUUUAGGUAGCGCCUCGUGAAUUCAUCUCCGGGGGUAGAGCACUGUUUCGGCAAGGGGGUCAUCCCGACUUACCAACCCGAUGCAAACUGCGAAUACCGGAGAAUGUUAUCACGGGAGACACACGGCGGGUGCUAACGUCCGUCGUGAAGAGGGAAACAACCCAGACCGCCAGCUAAGGUCCCAAAGUCAUGGUUAAGUGGGAAACGAUGUGGGAAGGCCCAGACAGCCAGGAUGUUGGCUUAGAAGCAGCCAUCAUUUAAAGAAAGCGUAAUAGCUCACUGGUCGAGUCGGCCUGCGCGGAAGAUGUAACGGGGCUAAACCAUG